rnacentral:rRNA from 1 species
AUUGAACGCUGGCGGCAGGCCUAACACAUGCAAGUCGAGCGGAUGAAGGGAGCUUGCUCCUGGAUUCAGCGGCGGACGGGUGAGUAAUGCCUAGGAAUCUGCCUGGUAGUGGGGGAUAACGUCCGGAAACGGGCGCUAAUACCGCAUACGUCCUGAGGGAGAAAGUGGGGGAUCUUCGGACCUCACGCUAUCAGAUGAGCCUAGGUCGGAUUAGCUAGUUGGUGGGGUAAAGGCCUACCAAGGCGACGAUCCGUAACUGGUCUGAGAGGAUGAUCAGUCACACUGGAACUGAGACACGGUCCAGACUCCUACGGGAGGCAGCAGUGGGGAAUAUUGGACAAUGGGCGAAAGCCUGAUCCAGCCAUGCCGCGUGUGUGAAGAAGGUCUUCGGAUUGUAAAGCACGUUAAGUUGGGAGGAAGGGCAGUAAGUUAAUACCUUGCUGUUUUGACGGUACCAACAGAAUAAGCACCGGCUAACUUCGUG